rnacentral:lncRNA from 1 species
CAAAGAUUUUAAACAACAGAAUCCUACACUGAUUGACGAAUAUUUAUUCAAUGUUUAACUCCAAAUAUAAGUCAAUUUGGAAUCUUUUUUUCCCUUCGAUUUUUCUUUUCUUUUGUUUCAGUAUUUACUUGACAAUCGGACAAGUAAACUGUAUCGUUUAAUAGGUGCCUGAUGAUGGAUUUCGUUUGGCCUGGCAAUCUGACAGUCGCAAAUAUCAAACCAUGCAGGCGACCAAACUAUUUGGAUGUUCGAAAAUAUAUCAUAUAAGUAACGUUUUUAAAUCUCAUGGUAAACGCAUGGAACUAUAAAAUUCUUAAAAUUGCUUUAAUAUAAAAAAGAAGAUGUGGUGUGAUUGCCAAUGAGACAACUAUCCACAAAAGACCAAAAUGACACAAACAAUAACAAUUAAAAGAAAAAGAAAACCUGUUGCUGCGUAUGAGAUUAUAUACAUACGUCUCGAUCUCCUUGUCCUGUCGAAGUUAUCUGUUUCAGAGACGC